rnacentral:rRNA from 1 species
GACAGAGGUCUCGAGCGUUAGGCGGAAUCACUGGGCUUAAAGCGUGUGUAGGCGGAGUGCUAAGUACCUUGUGAAAUCCCACGGCUUAACCGUGGAACUGCUGGGUAUACUGGUUCUCUUGGGCCACUUAGGGGUUACCGGAACAAACGGUGGAGCGGUGAAAUGCGUAGAUAUCGUAAGGAACACCUGUGGCGAAAGCGGCUUACUGGGUCUUUUCUGACGCUGAUGCACGAAAGCUAGGGGAGCAAACGGG